UUCGCAAUGCCCGAAAGGGUGACGAAGCGACGCCGCGUGUGGGAAGAAGGCCUUCGGGUUGUAAACCACUGUCGGGAGUUAAGAAAUGCAAGGAUAUUAAUAGUGUCUUUGUUUGACUAAGGCUCCGGAGGAAGCCACGGCUAACUCUGUGCCAGCAGCCGCGGUAAUACAGAGGCGGCAAGCGUUGUUCGGAAUUAUUGGGCGUAAAGAGCACGUAGGCGGCUCUGCAAGUCAGCUGUGAAAGCCUUCUGCUUAACGGAAGAACAGCAGUUGAAACUACAGGGCUUGAGUGCGGGAGGGGAGAGUGGAACUUCUGGUGGAGCGGUGAAAUGCGUAGAUAUCAGAAGGAACGCCGGCGGCGAAGGCGGCUCUCUGGCCCAUAACUGACGCUGAGUGUGCGAAAGCUAGGGGAGCAAACGGGAUUAGAUACCCCGGUAGUCCUAGCCGUAAACGAUGGGCACUAAGUAGAGGGGUUUU
rnacentral:rRNA from 1 species